GCGGGCAUAGCUUAGCUGGUAGAGCAGGGGACUCUUAAUCCCAAGGUCGAAGGUUCGAAUCCUUCUGCCCGCA
rnacentral:tRNA from 1 species